rnacentral:rRNA from 1 species
CAGUUCUUGACAUCCUCUGACAAUCCUAGAGAUAAGGCGUCCCCUUCGGGGGCAGAGUGACAGGUGGUGCAUGGUUGUCGUCAGCUCGUGUCGUGAGAUGUUGGGUUAAGUCCCGCAACGAGCGCAACCCUUGAUCUUAGUUGCCAGCAUUCAGUUGGGCACUCUAAGGUGACUGCCGGUGACAAACCGGAGGAAGGUGGGGAUGACGUCAAAUCAUCAUGCCCCUUAUGACCUGGGCUACACACGUGCUACAAUGGGCAGAACAAAGGGCAGCGAAACCGCGAGGUUAAGCCAAUCCCACAAAUCUGUUCUCAGUUCGGAUCGCAGUCUGCAACUCGACUGCGUGAAGCUGGAAUCGCUAGUAAUCGCGGAUCAGCAUGCCGCGGUGAAUACGUCCCGGGCCUUGUACACACCGCCCGUCACACCACGAGAGUUUGUAACACCCGAAGUCGGUGAGGUAACCUUUAUGGACCCAGCCGCCGAAGGUUGAUUGGGGUGAAUCCUAACCCGUAUCGAAGGUGCGGCUGGAUCACUCCGGUGCAGGUUGGAUCCC